rnacentral:rRNA from 1 species
GACGAACGCUGGCGGCGUGCCUAAUACAUGCAAGUAGAACGCUGAAGGAGGAGCUUGCUUCUCUGGAUGAGUUGCGAACGGGUGAGUAACGCGUAGGUAACCUGCCUGGUAGCGGGGGAUAACUAUUGGAAACGAUAGCUAAUACCGCAUAAGAGUAGAUGUUGCAUGGCAUUUGCUUAAAAGGUGCAAUUGCAUCACUACCAGAUGGACCUGCGUUGUAUUAGCUAGUUGGUGGGGUAACGGCUCACCAAGGCGACGAUACAUAGCCGACCUGAGAGGGUGAUCGGCCACACUGGGACUGAGACACGGCCCAGACUCCUACGGGAGGCAGCAGUAGGGAAUCUUCGGCAAUGGACGGAAGUCUGACCGAGCAACGCCGCGUGAGUGAAGAAGGUUUUCGGAUCGUAAAGCUCUGUUGUAAGAGAAGAACGAGUGUGAGAGUGGAAAGUUCACACUGUGACGGUAUCUUACCAGAAAGGGACGGCUAACUACGUG